UUCUUUUUGUAAGAAUAAAAAGUAAGUCCUGCUCAAUGAAAAGAUUAAAUAGCUGCUUUUAUUAGCACUAAGGUAGCAUAAUCAUUUGUUUAUUAAUUGUAAACUGGAAUGAAAGGAUAAAUAAUUAUUUACUUUAUUAAUCUUAUUAUUUGAAUUUUAACUUUUAUUUAAAAUGAUAAAAUAUAAUUUAGGGACAAGAAGACCCUAUAAAGCUUCAUAUUUAAAUUAAAUUUUUAUUUUAUUUUAAAAUAUUUUAUUGGGGCAAGGAUUUACUUAGAAAAAAUGUAAAUUUAUUAAUUAAAUAAAAAUGAAUAUUAAUGAUCCGAUUAUUAUCGAUUUAUUGAAUAAGUUACUUUAGGGAUAACAGUAUAAUUUUUAUUUUAGAGAACAUAUCGAAAAUGAAGAUUAUAACCUCGAUGUUGAAUUAAUUUUAUAAAAAGGUGAAGAAGCUUUUUAAUGUUUGACUGUUCGUCAAUUUAAUAAUUAUG
rnacentral:rRNA from 1 species